CUCCUGUUGCAGGUAGACCUCAUCCGAACUCCUACAAGGGUCAGACUUCGAGCUUCUACUGCAAGCGAUUCACUCCGAGCUUCUGCUACAAACGAUCGACUUUAAAUUUCUACUACAAGCGGUCCAUACCGGAUUCCCACUGUAAGCCUUCACUCGAGCUUCCAUUGUGGAUGAAUUUCUUCCAGAUUUCUAUUACAGGCAGGCUUCAGUCGAGAUUCCUCAACAAAUGAUCCCCAUCCGGGCUUCUACAGAGAUCGGACUCCGACCAAACUUAUGUAGCAGAC
rnacentral:lncRNA from 1 species